CGUGGGCUCAUCAUGACCGUGGAUUUGAGCAGACAUCGUGAAUGGGUGAAAAAGUACUAUCGUUCUUCUUCCUUCGGCUAGGGUUUGGUGCAACAACUUGCACCAGGCCUGGAGUCUCAGCCUCAGGGCAUAUCUGUUUCCAGUCUCUUUGAGUGCGGCUAGCGUCUGUCCAUGGAGGAUCUAAAGGUAUGGCAUGGCAAGGCAAGCAAUGGAGACAUUUUUGUUCAACUAGCAAGUAAGUAGUUCGAAAUUGAAAAUUGGUGUGCUAGGGAAUUGUUAUGAAUUUGGGAAGUAUUUUGAUUAGUGAUUGGGUUUACAAGAAGUUUGUGUCUUAUGGAUCUUACUAAUUUCAAAUUAUACAUGUUUGAUGAUAAAA